rnacentral:rRNA from 1 species
CACGCCGUAAACGAUGAAUGCUAGGUGUUGGGGGUCAAACCUCGGUGCCGAAGUUAACACAUUAAGCAUUCCGCCUGGGGAGUACGGUGGCAACACUGAAACUCAAAGGAAUUGACGGGGACCCGCACAAGCAGCGGAGCAUGUGGUUUAAUUCGAAGCAACGCGAAGAACCUUACCAGGUCUUGACAUCCUUUGCACGUUUUAGAGAUAGAACAUUCCCUUCGGGGACAAAGAGACAGGUGG